rnacentral:lncRNA from 1 species
CUGAGUUUUAUCUCAUGUUCCUUUUCUUAUGAGGGAUACAGGGUCCAUGCUGCUCAGGCCGACUUCUCCUGUAAAAGGGGCUGAAUCUGAGUCAUUAGAGAACCACAUAUGGUUUCACUUCCAGUGACAUCUGGAAAGCAAGGGGUCAGGUAGCAUCACAGAGAUGUCCCGGUGAAAACGGGGACUGAGCUGACGCUGUUGUUCUCUUUGGGAGAUGAGUAGGGAGUGAAAUAGUCAGACCUUGAUGUGGAGGGAAUUUUAGUGAAGAAUUAGAAUAAUGUUUCUUUUCCUUUACUCACCUUCUCAAAUUACCUAAAGAGGAGAUGUAAGGACAGAGAAAAAUAGGGAAGAACAGCAGAAGGAGCUACUUGAGGGAUGACAGGAAUUUAAAUAAAAUCACAACCCUCCAGAAAGAACCGAAAGGUUUCCAACCUCAUUUACCUGAUAGAUGGGGUUUUACCAUGUUGACCAGGAUGGCCUUGAUCUCUUGACCUCGUGAUCUCCCUGCCACGGCCUCCCUGAACUGCUGGAAUUACAGGCUUCCAAGUGAGAAGUUCAGGGCUUCACAAUUGAGAACCAGAAAGAAAAGGAGAAACUGGCCUUUGUUGAGUAUCAACUGUCAACAUUCUUGGAUAAGAAAGUCACGGAUACAGAGUCCUGUCCUAACUCGGAAACUCUGCUCCACCACUAUCUGCAGAGGAGAAGAAGUAUUUAAGCUGAAUACGUCCAAGUUGAUGUGGAUAAAAACCCAAGGAACUUUUCCUAAAGGGAGAACCCCUCUUAAAGGAGAGUCUUAUGACCUGCUUCAGGAGAGAAGGGCAAGGGGAAGGUGAGGGCUAAGAAUUCCUUCUGCAACAACCCUGACAAAUGAGCAUGGUACUUCCAGGAAAAUUUCUCCAGGGUAGUGAAGCUCAUUACCAGAGAGCCACCCAGACAGCAAGAUGAAGCUUAACAAGGAAUACAAGAACAGCCUCCACUUGGAUUCAAAAUCAGCAACUGCAAAAAUUUCAAGAUAAAAAGACCUCCCUAAUGAUAAAGAAACACAUACAGCAAAAACCUUCAGUUGACUCUGUCUUAUUUCAGCUAUGGAAUUUUAGAAUUGGGUGUAUGUGCACCUGAGCAGUAUUCUUUUCUUUGAUAUUUACAGAACCUGUUGGCCAACAUGUUUCCAGAAACAGAGAACCACUCACGACUUUCUAAUAAAGCUAUUCCACAUGUAGACAAACAUAUUCAAUGCUAGUACUAAAAUCUGUUCCUGUUUCGAAUUCUCAUAUCAUGCCUUAACUCCUGUCUUUUGGAACAACUUAGACUGUUUAUGUCUUAACCACAAACACCCUACCACAUACUUGAAGAAGAUUCCCAUAGUUACAGAACACAACUCUUUCCCAAAUAAAAUUUACCUUCACUUUUCCUGAUGAGACAUUGAAAUCUAUUAUUCUUCCCUAGUAGGAUGGAAGUUCUUUGAGUAAAUAUGAGGCAUGUGUGUCAAGGAAAAAGUGGAUGUUUGCUUAAACAAAGAAGUGAGAUCCUGGGAGAAGUCCAACAUGUCACAAUAUUUACCCUGAAAGACACUCAGGCUUAAAUAAAAAUAAAUCAAAUCUUUUAAUCUCCUCUUAACUUAUUUACCCAAAUGCGACAAUGAAUUUUCAUAUAUCACUUUAAAUUCCUGACACACACAAGCCAAAUAUUGAACGCUGAUU